AGAGAAAUAUAUUUCCGUUCCUAAAAAACAAAAUCCUGUUGGAAACGCCUCAUAGAUUAACUGUGUGGUUUCCUUUACUCAUAGAACUACCUGUUAGAUCUGUGGGAAAGAACUACAAGACAGAG